rnacentral:rRNA from 1 species
UCAGGCCUAACACAUGCAAGUCGAACGGUAACAGGUCUUCGGAUGCUGACGAGUGGCGAACGGGUGAGUAAUACAUCGGAACGUGCCCGAGAGUGGGGGAUAACGAAGCGAAAGCUUUGCUAAUACCGCAUACGAUCUCAGGAUGAAAGCAGGGGACCGCAAGGCCUUGCGCUCACGGAGCGGCCGAUGGCAGAUUAGGUAGUUGGUGGGAUAAAAGCUUACCAAGCCGACGAUCUGUAGCUGGUCUGAGAGGACGACCAGCCACACUGGGACUGAGACACGGCCCAGACUCCUACGGGAGGCAGCAGUGGGGAAUUUUGGACAAUGGGCGCAAGCCUGAUCCAGCCAUGCCGCGUGCAGGAUGAAGGCCUUCGGGUUGUAAACUGAUUGUGUACGGAACGAAAAGACUCUGGUUAAUACC